AGAUGUGAGUGCAGGAUGUGCUGGCUGUGACAUCUGUCACCCCAUUGCUCUCCAGGGCCGGUGCAGCUGACCUGGCUGGCUGGGCAGGUGUCCCUCCUCCCUCGCCACACCAUGCACGUUCCUCCCAAACCUGCACACUUGGUCAAAGAGGACGAUCCCACGUACAGGAGGACCCUUCUUGGUCACGGGCAGAGGACUAGCCACGCUCCCUGCCCGGACCUCCAACAGGCUCUCUAGACCUCAGGGCAGGCGUGUCCCCGAUCAUUGCUCCUGUCAUCUGAUGCACCACUCCCAAGUUCUCAGGCCAAAGAUUUCCAGGAGGGCUACUUUCA
rnacentral:snRNA from 1 species